rnacentral:rRNA from 1 species
AGUUUAAGCUUUUCUGUUGUAUUUUUAUAAUAUUAUUAAGGUAAUAUUUAUAAUAUCAACAUCCUUCCUAUUAUAUUUUUAAUAUAUAGGAGAUUUUACUUUGAGAAAAUUAGAGUGCUUAAAGCAGGCAACUGCCUUGAAUACUCCAGCAUGGAAUAAUAAGUAAGGACUUUUGUCUUUCUUGUUGGUUCUAGGAUAAAAGUAAUGGUUAAUAGGGACAGUUGGGGGCAUUCGUAUUCAACAGUCAGAGGUGAAAUUGUUGGAUUUGUUCAAGACGAACUACUGCGAAAGCAUUUGCCAAGGAUGUUUUCAUUAAUCAAGAACGAAAGUUAGGGGAUCGAAGACGAUCAGAUACCGUCGUAGUCUAACCAUAAACUAUGCCAGUAGAGAUGAGGG